GGCAGUUCUCAGGUGUCGCACCCCGGAAUUGGGCUCCCUCCUCUCUGGUUCCGGGUGCGUCACCCGAGAACCACA
rfam:Myotis davidii contig76549, whole genome shotgun sequence.